rfam:Gossypium arboreum cultivar AKA8401 contig_56_3, whole genome shotgun sequence.
GGGUGCGAUCAUACCAGCACUAAUGCACCGGAUCCCAUCAGAACUCUGCAGUUAAGCGUGCUUGGGCGAGAGUAGUACUAGGAUGGGUGACCUCCUGGGAAGUCCUCGUGUUGCACCCC